rnacentral:rRNA from 1 species
GACGAACGCUGGCGGCGUGCUUAACACAUGCAAGUCGAACGGAAAGGCCCUGCUUGCAGGGGACUCGAGUGGCGAACGGGUGAGUAACACGUGGGUGAUCGGCCCUGCACUUCGGGUUAAGCCUGGGAAAGGGGGUCAAAUACCGGAAAGGAGCGAGGGUGAGAGUGAGGGAUGGAAAGUCUUUUCGGUGUAGGAUGAGCUCGCGGCCUAUCAGCUUGUUGGUGGGGUAAUGGCCUACCAAGGCGGCGACGGGUAGCCGGCCUGAGAGGGUGGACGGCCACCUUGGGUCUGAGAGACGGCACAGGCUCCUACGAGUGGCCGCAGUGGGGAAUCUUGCUCCAUGGGCGCCAGCCUGAUGCAGCGACGCCGCGUGGGGGAUGACGGCCUUCGGGUUGUAAACUCCUUGCGCUAGGGACGCAGCUUUUUGUGACGGUACCUAGAUAAGAAGCACCGGCUAACUACGUG